AUGGAAGGCCUCUGCUUCAAGUGUUUUGAGGAAGGGCAUCUCAAGGCGGAUUGUACGAACAAGGUGGUUUGCCUCAGGUGUGGGGUGCCGGGGCAUGAGGCCAAGGAUUGCAAGCGCCCCUGCAGUCCCUCGCCGGAAGAAGAUCUGCGAAGGGCGGCUACGGCCAAGGUGGCUAGGCGCGGCGAGGCUGAGCAGUCCAUUCGUGCGAGGCCAGGUUCAAGAGGGCCACCGAUGCCGCUGCCUCCACCCGCGCCCCCAGUGGUGGCGUGGCAGUCGGGAGCGUGCACGGACUGGCCUUACCUUCCCUCCCUGAGGAUGGAGCCCGGGGGGCACGAGGAGUUCCUGCCGCCCGAGCUCUGCAUCGUCCGUCGCACUCGCAUCAUGGAAGACUUGGAGCGGCGCCUCCAGUUCGCGAUGGUGUCCUACGUCGGAGGGGCUAGGCGUGGUAUCUCGCCGGAGUUCGUGGCAGAGGCGCUGCACUCUGUGAUGGGAAUUUCGUCGGAGUGGUUCUCGGUGCAUGAGUUCAGACCGGAAGACUUCCUUGUGGUCUUCGCCAGGCAAGAGCAUCGCAAUAGCGUCGGAGCACGGCCAUCUAUUGAGCACAGGGGCGAGCGUCUGUUCUUCAGGCAGUGGAACCAGCAAGCUCAGGCGGUCCACUUCGUCAUGAGGUUUAGGGUCUCGCCGGUUCUUGAAGGAAUUCCGCCGCAUGCGUGCGAGCGCGAGGUCGCGGAGGAUAUUCUCGGCUCUGCCUGCCUCGUGGACACGGUUGCGGCUGAGACGAGCGUGCGCCGGGAUCUUUCUGCUUUCAAGCUCACGGCUUGGAUGGCGGAUCCGGAGAGCAUUCCGACGCUGCGCUGGCUGGCCGUGCCGGAGCCGGGCUUGGUCGCGCCACUUGUCAACCCGGAGCUACUUCAGUACAAGAUUCUCAUCCAUGUCGAUGCGGUGACUGAGUUCGAUGGGCCGGACGAGCCUUGGUUCCUCAGGGCGUCCUCGGAGAGCGGACGGAGCGGCAUUCCAGAUGAAGGCGAGGGCUCCAUGGGAGGCCGUGGAGGAGGAGAAAGAAGUUACACAUCGCAGCCGCGCUGGAGCUUCGGGGUCAGAGAUCUUCGUGGGCGCCGUGUUCACGGUGGGCCGGUGGCCGAGGCCCCUGCGUCGCCUGCGGCCUCGCCGGAGGCGAGUCCUAAGGCUGGCUCGGGCUGGCGCAUUCCCCCGACGAGCCCCCUAACCGUGCUGUCAUCUGGUCUGGUCUCCCUCCCCAUCCGGAGCAGGCUAACGCGAAGGACUUCCGCUUUUGACCGCCUUUUGCCUGCGCGAGUUCCCACAGAAGCAACAAACAGAGUUCGUGGCCAAUAUUCAAAUGGCAAAGGCGGGGAGACAACUGCUUCAGAUAGAGAUCGUGGCCAAUGUUUAAAUGGCCAAGGUGCGGAGACAGCUGCGAGCUUGGUGCCUAUCCGCUCGCCACCUACCGCUGGGCAGCUGAGGCUGGAGUCGGGGCCUGCCACUCGGGACCAGUGCGCCCUUCUUGCGUGGCGCUGCACGGUGAGCCGGAGCUGGUCGAGCCUGUUGUUGAGCGGACUGCUACACCCAUGCGUGGCAAUCAGCUAUUGGCCUUGGUUCCUGCACCUCCCCAGUCUUACAUGGAGCCAGGCGAGUUCGUGGUGGGCGCAUCUACCCCUGGCCCCACCUCUGGGCGGGUGCAUGAAUCUUCCCAGCCUGUCUCGGAGGCGCAUGUGA
rnacentral:rRNA from 1 species